GCCUCAGUAGCGGCGAGUGAAGCGGCAAAAGCUCAAAUUUGAAAUCUGGCGUCUUUGGCGUCCGAGUUGUAAUUUGAAGAAGGUAUCUUUGGGCCCGGCUCUUGUCUAUGUUCCUUGGAACAGGACGUCACAGAGGGUGAGAAUCCCGUGCGAUGAGAUGACCCGGGUCUGUGUAAAGUUCCUUCGACGAGUCGAGUUGUUUGGGAAUGCAGCUCUAAGUGGGUGGUAAAUUCCAUCUAAAGCUAAAUAUUGGCGAGAGACCGAUAGCGAACAAGUACAGUGAUGGAAAGAUGAAAAGAACUUUGAAAAGAGAGUGAAAAAGUACGUGAAAUUGUUGAAAGGGAAGGGCUUGAGAUCAGACUUGGUAUUUUGCAUGCUGCUCUCUCGGGGGCGGCCGCUGCGGUUUACCGGGCCAGCAUCGGUUUGGAGCGGCAGGAUAAUGGCGGAGGAAUGUGGCACGGCUUCUGCUGUGUGUUAUAGCCUCUGACGAUACUGCCAGCCUAGACCGAGGACUGCGGUUUUUACCUAGGAUGUUGGCAUAAUGAUCUUAAGUCGCCCGUCUU
rnacentral:rRNA from 1 species